CUGUAGCCAAUUAAGCCAACUGGACUCCUUCCAUGUGGGUCCCAGGGUGCAGUUGGCUACAAUCGAGCCUCCUCCAUGGUACUGUCUGCACACAGCCUAGUGCUUGUAUUGUACUGACUGCCUUAAGGGAUCUUGAAAACAGCC
rnacentral:snoRNA from 1 species